UGUGACUCACCAAGCUUAAAUAUCAACGAAUCAAUCUCACAGUAGCACUAUUUAUUAACCAUGGCUUCCAACGAUGAUGAGUCCGUUCUCGAUCCCUGGGCCUUCAUUUUGGAGUUGUCUCACAUAUCUCCAUCCCAAGAACAAAUCUUGGCCACUGCUCCAUUUGUCGGAGCAGUACAGGACACCGCCACCUCCGCCUCCCAUGACAUCGACAUGCUGCCGUUGCCGGACUCCGUCCCCGAAGACGUAUUCCACACGCCGGAGGAGGCCUCGCUUCCCACCUCCCCCUCCGAAAACCAUUGCGUCGUUAAUUACGCCUUCAUCGACGUGGAUGAUGUGGAUGCUUGGUUCGAAUUGGGGAAGGAUUCCGAGUUAGGGUCUUCGGAUGUUCACGUGGAAGAAGUUAACGGAGAGGAAAUGGGAAAUUUAGAAACCCUUAGUGGGGAUGUGAGCAUUAGCGUGUCUGAAUCUGCUGAGGGGCCCAAGUCAAGUGAUGGGGUUGUGGAAUCGCCGGGGAAGAAGAAGAGUGAGCAGGGUAAGAACAAAAGUGCCGUUUCUGGAGAGCAGAAGAAGACUGAUAAGGAAGCAGGGCCAGGGCUGCGUCGGGUGUUGCCACCCUCCACUGCAGCGUCGACGCCGAUGACUGAAACGGGAAGUGGAAGAAGUGGGAACGGUGGGGGUGGGGCGAAAAGGAAGUUUUUGGAUGCUUUUUUUGCUGCGGUUAAAGCUUUCUCAGAGUUACAGAGCACUGUUGAAGAACUUAACGAAGACCAUAAGGAAGCAGGGCCAGAGCUGCGUCGGGUGUUGCCACCCUCAAUUACAGGGUCGACGGCUAAAACGGGAAGUGGAAGAAGUGGGAACGGUGGGGGUGGGGAGAAAAGGAAAGCUUUUGAUGUUUUUGCUUUGCUUAAAGCUUUCUCAAAGUUAGAGAGCACUGUUGAAGAAAAUAACGAUGACCAUCGCACCCUGUUGGAUGUGGCAAGAGCUAAGGGUGUUACCUUUCCUCGGCCAAGGUGGUGGCCGGAGGGGGAUAACUUUGACCCGCCGCCACCACAAUAGUGUGAGAAAAUGAAGACAUAACCGUGCAAUCUGCCUUGAGAAGAAUGCAGCUUUUCUCUGAAUAUGACAUGUAUACUGCAGUUCCUUUUCGAAACAGAGAACGGAUAACAUUUGAUCACUUGGUGUCUAUGAAGAAACCUAAUGAAAAGGCAUUAGUCAGAGUUCUGCGGGAUGGGCAAGAGCAUGAGCUUAGUAGCAUACUCCAACCUAUCCAUCCCUUAGUUCCAGUUCAUCAGUUUGAUAAACUUCAAAGUUAUUACUUUUUUGCUGGCCUGUUAUUCAUUCCACUCACUCGGCCAUACCUUCAUCAGUAUGGGGAGGACUGGUAUAAUACUUCACCUCGUCGUUUGUGUGAACGGGCACUGUGAGAAUUACCAAAGAAAGCAAAUCAACAACUUGUUAUCCUGUCUCAGGUUCUGAUGGAUGAUAUUGAUGCUGGAUAAGAGCGUCUCGCAGAAUUACAGGUUUUGAAGGUUAAAUGGAACCGAAAUUGACAAUCUAGAACACUUACGCCAUCUUUUUGAAAGUUGUAACGCAGAAUUAUUGCGGCUUGAUUGGGAGGAUGAUUGAGUUGGUCUUGAAUUACAGAACAGCAAAAAUUGCCACUUCUAGAAUUUUUAAGCUUCACAGAAUACCUUCAUCAAUGUUCGUUGAUCUUCUUGUUACAUAAUUACAAUUUAGACUGAAUGGCUCAUGUUGAGAUUGCAAUGGCUUUUACCUGGUAUUUACUUACUAGCAUAUUUGUGAUCGGUGCCUAAUUGAUCCUCGUAAAACUUCAAAAAAUUUACUCGUAGAUUUUUCAAAAUCAUUCCUAGUUGUUUUUUAUUUUUUAA